CCUACGGGAGGCAGCAGUGGGGGAUAUUGCACAAUGGGGGAAACCCUGAUGCAGCGACGCCGCGUGUGGGAAGACGGUCCUCUGGAUUGUAAACCACUGUCCCCAGGGACGAAGAUGCCGGUACCUGGGGAGGAAGCUCCGGCUAACUACGUGCCAGCAGCCGCGGUAAUCCGUAGGGAGCGAGCGUUGUCCGGAAUUACUGGGUGUAAAGGGAGCGUAGGCGGGAGUGCAAGUUGGGUGUAAAAUCUACCGGCUCAACCGGUAGCCGCACUCAAAACUGCAGUUCUUGAGUGAAGUAGAGGCAGGCGGAAUUCCUAGGGUAGCGGUGAAAUGCGUAGAUAUUAGGAGGAACACCAGUGGCGAAGGCGGCCUGCUGGGCUUUUACUGACGCUGAGGCUCGAAAGUGUGGGGAGCAAACAGGAUUAGAUACCCCAGUAGUC
rnacentral:rRNA from 1 species